rnacentral:rRNA from 1 species
GCAGCCGCGGUAAUACAGAGGGUGCAAGCGUUAAUCGGAAUUACUGGGCGUAAAGCGAGCGUAGGUGGCUUGAUAAGUCAGAUGUGAAAGCCCCGGGCUUAACCUGGGAACGGCAUCUGAUACUGUUAGGCUAGAGUAGGUGAGAGGAAGGUAGAAUUCCAGGUGUAGCGGUGAAAUGCGUAGAGAUCUGGAGGAAUACCGAUGGCGAAGGCAGCCUUCUGGCAUCAUACUGACACUGAGGUUCGAAAGCGUGGGUAGCAAACAGGAUUAGAUACCCUGGUAGUCCACGCCGUAAACGAUGUCUACUAGUCGUUGGGUCCCUUGAGGACUUAGUGACGCAGCUAACGCAAUAAGUAGACCGCCUGGGGAGUACGGCCGCAAGGUUAAAACUCAAAUGAAUUGACGGGGGCCCGCACAAGCGGUGGAGCAUGUGGUUUAAUUCGAUGCAACGCGAAGAACCUUACCUGGUCUUGACAUAUCUAGAAUCCUGCAGAGAUGCGGGAGUGCCUUCGGGAAUUAGAAUACAGGUGCUGCAUGGCUGUCGUCAGCUCGUGUCGUGAGAUGUUGGGUUAAGUCCCGCAACGAGCGCAACCCUUGUCCUUAGUUACCAGCGGUUUGGCCGGGAACUCUAAGGAUACUGCCAGUGACAAACUGGAGGAAGGCGGGGACGACGUCAAGUCAUCAUGGCCCUUACGACCAGGGCUACACACGUGCUACAAUGGUAGGUACAGAGGGCAGCUACACAGCGAUGUGAUGCGAAUCUCAAAAAGCCUAUCGUAGUCCAGAUUGGAGUCUGCAACUCGACUCCAUGAAGUAGGAAUCGCUAGUAAUCGCGGAUCAGAAUGCCGCGGUGAAUACGUUCCCGGGCCUUGUACACACCGCCCGUCACACCAUGGGAGUUGAUUGCACCAGAAGUGGGUAGCCUAACCUUUUAGGAUGGCGCUCACCACGGUGUGGUUGAUGACUGGGGUGAAG